rnacentral:rRNA from 1 species
UACGUAGGGACCAAGCGUUGUUCGGAUUUACUGGGCGUAAAGGGCGCGUAGGCGGCGUGGUAAGUCACUUGUGAAAUCUCUGAGCUUAACUCAGAACGGCCAAGUGAUACUGCUGUGCUAGAGUGCAGAAGGGGCAAUCGGAAUUCUUGGUGUAGCGGUGAAAUGCGUAGAUAUCAAGAGGAACACCUGCGGCGAAGGCGGGUAGCUGGGCCGACACUGACGCUGAGGCGCGAAAGCCAGGGGAGCAAACGGG